AGAGUUUGAUCAUGGCUCAGAUUGAACGCUGGCGGCAGGCCUAACACAUGCAAGUCGAGCGGUAGCACAGAGAGCUUGCUCUCGGGUGACGAGCGGCGGACGGGUGAGUAAUGUCUGGGAAACUGCCUGAUGGAGGGGGAUAACUACUGGAAACGGUAGCUAAUACCGCAUAACGUCGCAAGACCAAAGUGGGGGACCUUCGGGCCUCAUGCCAUCAGAUGUGCCCAGAUGGGAUUAGCUAGUAGGUGGGGUAACGGCUCACCUAGGCGACGAUCCCUAGCUGGUCUGAGAGGAUGACCAGCCACACUGGAACUGAGACACGGUCCAGACUCCUACGGGAGGCAGCAGUGGGGAAUAUUGCACAAUGGGCGCAAGCCUGAUGCAGCCAUGCCGCGUGUGUGAAGAAGGCCUUCGGGUUGUAAAGCACUUUCAGCGGGGAGGAAGGCGUUAAGGUUAAUAACCUCAGCGAUUGACGUUACCCGCAGAAGAAGCACCGGCUAACUCCGUGCCAGCAGCCGCGGUAAUACGGAGGGUGCAAGCGUUAAUCGGAAUUACUGGGCGUAAAGCGCACGCAGGCGGUCUGUCAAGUCGGAUGUGAAAUCCCCGGGCUCAACCUGGGAACUGCAUUCGAAACUGGCAGGCUAGAGUCUUGUAGAGGGGGGUAGAAUUCCAGGUGUAGCGGUGAAAUGCGUAGAGAUCUGGAGGAAUACCGGUGGCGAAGGCGGCCCCCUGGACAAAGACUGACGCUCAGGUGCGAAAGCGUGGGGAGCAAACAGGAUUAGAUACCCUGGUAGUCCACGCCGUAAACGAUGUCGAUUUGGAGGUUGUGCCCUUGAGGCGUGGCUUCCGGAGCUAACGCGUUAAAUCGACCGCCUGGGGAGUACGGCCGCAAGGUUAAAACUCAAAUGAAUUGACGGGGGCCCGCACAAGCGGUGGAGCAUGUGGUUUAAUUCGAUGCAACGCGAAGAACCUUACCUGGUCUUGACAUCCACAGAACUUACCAGAGAUGCAUUGGUGCCUUCGGGAACUGUGAGACAGGUGCUGCAUGGCUGUCGUCAGCUCGUGUUGUGAAAUGUUGGGUUAAGUCCCGCAACGAGCGCAACCCUUAUCCUUUGUUGCCAGCGGUCCGGCCGGGAACUCAAAGGAGACUGCCAGUGAUAAACUGGAGGAAGGUGGGGAUGACGUCAAGUCAUCAUGGCCCUUACGACCAGGGCUACACACGUGCUACAAUGGCAUAUACAAAGAGAAGCGACCUCGCGAGAGCAAGCGGACCUCAUAAAGUAUGUCGUAGUCCGGAUUGGAGUCUGCAACUCGACUCCAUGAAGUCGGAAUCGCUAGUAAUCGUAGAUCAGAAUGCUACGGUGAAUACGUUCCCGGGCCUUGUACACACCGCCCGU
rnacentral:rRNA from 1 species